rnacentral:tRNA from 1 species
GGGGCUGUAGCUCAGUGGCAGAGUGCUUGCCUAGCAUGCAUGACGGCACUGAGUUUGAUUCUCAGCACCACA